rnacentral:rRNA from 1 species
GACGAACGCUGGCGGCGUGCCUAAUACAUGCAAGUCGAGCGGACUUUCAAGAAGCUUGCUUUUUGAAAGUUAGCGGCGGACGGGUGAGUAACACGUGGGCAACCUGCCUGCAAGACGGGGAUAACUCCGGGAAACCGGGGCUAAUACCGGAUAAUAUCUUCCUUCGCAUGAAGGAAGGUUGAAAGGCGGCGCACGCUGCCGCUUGCAGAUGGGCCCGCGGCGCAUUAGCUAGUUGGUGAGGUAACGGCUCACCAAGGCGACGAUGCGUAGCCGACCUGAGAGGGUGAUCGGCCACACUGGGACUGAGACACGGCCCAGACUCCUACGGGAGGCAGCAGUAGGGAAUCUUCCGCAAUGGACGAAAGUCUGACGGAGCAACGCCGCGUGAGCGAAGAAGGUCUUCGGAUCGUAAAGCUCUGUUGUCAGGGAAGAACAAGUACCGUUCGAACAGGGCGGUACCUUGACGGUACCUGACCAGAAAGCCACGGCUAACUACGUG